ensembl:snRNA U1 U1 spliceosomal RNA
AUAUUUAUUUGGCAGGGGAGAUACCAUGAUCACGAAGAUUUUCCGAGGGCAAGGCUUAUCCAUUGUGGUACGGUUGUACCGACCCCUGUGAUUUACUAUCGCUUUGCAAAAAGGCCACUGCAACCUUAUACAGAAAAUACUUCUGUGAGGAUGUCUGUC